CUUCCCAAGCAAUGAUUUGUGCAGAAAGCCGAAUGAUUAUUGAUUACAGGAUCCUUAUGGUCUGUGCUGGGUGGAAGAAGUGGGGAGAAUAACAGCAAAAGUUCUUUUCUUCCUUUGGUCUCUUCUGCUAAUGAUUUACUUCCACCAGCACUAUCUAAAGAGGAGCGGCACAGUUUGGCAAGCAGGUUGACAGGCCGUAAUUAACAGGGAGCUAAGCUGUGAACAUACUAAUAAAUUGCAUGCAUCUGGGGCUGUUGGCUGGCACCGAGACGUAGUGUCAUGGAACAGCCUCUGUCUGUACUUUUCCUGUUAAACAGGGCGGAUGCAUCUGCGUUGCCUGCUGGAUGAAUGCCCCAGCCAUGCUUGCUCCCAGCUCAUCCUGGAAGACUUUAGGAGGAUGCUGGUUAGCUGGUAAACCCUCCUGGGGACUAUUUAGUCAUGUACCCCACUGUGGAGUGGUUGCAGAUUUUUUUUUCCUGCUUUCUGGGAAGUGUGCUUUGAGAAACUGCUUGCAAAAAGGUAGAUCCAAAGCACAGCCUGGCCAAACCACCUGUGGAGCAGGGUGGUGCAUGUGUAUGCUGCAUGCUAGAGUAUGUGAAAUCAGAAAAAUACAAAUUUAUCAGACAGCAGCUGUGGGAAAGCAGUGUGGGCUGCCAUGAUGCCAUUGUAAUCAUGUACAGCUGUCCUCAGUGGUAACACUCACACUAAAGCUGCACAUGGAUAACCCUUCUCCUGUUGACCAAAUCUAUA